rnacentral:rRNA from 1 species
GGUUGAUCAUGGUCAGGAGCCUCGAUAAGACGAGAGGUGCAAGCAGUUAGCCUAAUUAUGUGGAGGACAGCGGGCGUAUGCGGUUUUGUAAUUCUGCGGUGAAAUACCCGGGAGCAACCUGGGUAUGGUAGUGGGUACUGGGCAGCUAGCUUGUGAUAGAGGAUGGAGGAAUUCCCGGUGUAGCGGUGAAAUGCGUAGAGAUCGGGAGGAACAUCAGUGGCGAAGGCGGCCAUCUGGAUCAACACUGACGCUGAGGCACGAAAGCGUGGGGAGCAAACAGGAUUAGAUACCCUUGUAGUC